GGCCGGUCUGAAGGUAUGGAGUUAUCUCAGUCAGUUAUUCACAGUUGGUUACAGAUUGAGCUUCUUGUUCUACUCUUUCCCCCCUUCUCACUACUGCACUUGACUGGUCUAUU
rnacentral:Y_RNA from 1 species